GCGGGACGAGAGUGGCGGAAGUGCGCGUAACACGUGGGCAAUCUGCCUCUUGGUUGGGGAUAACUCGCUGAAAGGUGAGCUAAUACCGGAUAUGAUGGUCUGCCGCAUGGUGGAUUGAUCAAAGAUGGGGAGCCGCAAGGUCCUGUCGCCGAGAGAGGAGCCCGCGUCCUAUCAGCUUGUUGGUGAGGUAACGGCUCACCAAGGCUUACGGGUAGCUGGUCUGAGAGGAUGGUCAGCCGCACUGGGACUGAGACACUGCCCAGACUCCUACGGGAGGCUGCAGUCGAGGAUCAUUCGCAAUGGGCGCAAGCCUGACGAUGCGACGCUGCGUGGAGGAUGAAGGCCUUCGGGUCGUAAACUCCUGUCAUUCGGGAACAAUAAAACAUCCAUUAACACUGGGUGUAAUCGAUAGUACCGGAAGAGGAAGCCACGGCUAACUCUGUGCCAUCAGCCGCGGUAAUACAGAGGUGGCGAGCGUUGUUCGGAUUUACUGGGCGUAAAGGGUGCGUAGGUGGUUUCAUGUGUCGGGCGUUAAAGCCCACUGCUCAACGGUGGAAUGCCGUCCGAAACUAUGAGACUAGAGUGCAGGAGAGGAGAGCGGAAUUCUUGGUGUAGCGGUGGAAUGCGUUGAUAUCAAGGAGAAUACCAGUGGCGUAGGCGGCUCUCUGGAAUGUUACUGACACUGAGGCACGAAAGUUGGGGGAGCAAACAGGAUUAGAUACCCUGGUAGUCAACCCUAAACGGUGCACACUUGGUGUAGGAGGAAUUGACCCCUUCUGUGCCGGAGCUAACGCGUUAAGUGUGCCGCCUGGGGAGUACGGUCGCAAGAUUAAAACUCAAAGAAAUUGACGGGGGCCCGCACAAGCGGAGGAGCAUGUGGCUUAAUUCGAUGCCACGCGAAGAACCUUACCAGGACUUGACAUGCAACUGCACGUCCCGUGAAAGCGGGAUUCCUUCGAGGGUGUUGCACAGGUGCUGCAUGGCUGUCGUCAGUUCGUGCCGUGAGGUGUUGGGUUAAGUCCCGCAACGAACGCAACCCCUGUAUUUAGUUGCCACCAUCGGUGAUGAGCCGGUGAGCACUCUAAAUAGACUGCCCGUGAUAAGCGGGAGGAAGGUGGGGAUGACGUCAAGUCAGUAUGGCCUUUAUGUCCUGGGCUGCACACGUGCUACAAUGGCCGGUACAGAGGGAAGCUAGACCGCAAGGUGGAGCAAAUCCCAUAAAACCGGCCUCAGUUCAGAUUGAAGGCUGCAACUCGCCUUCAUGAAGUUGGAUUCGCUAGUAAUGGCGCAUCAGCUACGGCGCCGUGAAUACGUUCCCGGGCCUUGUACACACCGCCCGUCACAUCAUGAAAGCCGUCUGCACCCAACGUCGCUGCUCCAACCCGCAAGGGAGGAAGGCGCCUAAGGUGUGGGUGGUGAUUGGGAUGAAGUCGUAACAAGGUA
rnacentral:rRNA from 1 species